CCUACGGGUGGCAGCAGUGGGGAAUAUUGCACAAUGGGGGGAACCCUGAUGCAGCAACGCCGCGUGGGUGAUGAAGUACUUCGGUAUGUAAAGUCCUGUCAGUAGGGAAGAAAAUGACGGUAUCUGACCAAGAAGCCCCGGCUAACUACGUGCCAGCAGCCGCGGUAAUACGUAGGGGGCAAGCGUUACUCGGAUUUACUGGGUGUAAAGGGAGCGUAGACGGCAAGGCAAGUCUGGAGUGAAAGCCUAUGGCCCAACCAUGGGACUGCUUUGGAAACUGUGUUGCUGGAGUGUAGGAGGGGUAGGCGGAAUUCGUGGUGUAGGGGUAAGAUGCGUAGAGAUUAAGAGGAAGACUGGUGGCGAAGGCGACUUGCUGGACCGUAACUGACGUUGAGGCUCGAAGGCGUGGGGAGCAAACAGGAUUAGAUACCCGAGUAGUC
rnacentral:rRNA from 1 species